rnacentral:rRNA from 1 species
GAUGAACGCUGGCGGCGUGCCUAAUACAUGCAAGUCGAGCGAACGGACGAGAAGCUUGCUUCUCUGAUGUUAGCGGCGGACGGGUGAGUAACACGUGGAUAACCUACCUAUAAGACUGGGAUAACUUCGGGAAACCGGAGCUAAUACCGGAUAAUAUUUUGAACCGCAUGGUUCAAAAGUGAAAGACGGUCUUGCUGUCACUUAUAGAUGGAUCCGCGCUGCAUUAGCUAGUUGGUAAGGUAACGGCUUACCAAGGCAACGAUGCAUAGCCGACCUGAGAGGAUGGGCAGAGAGAGUGGAAAGGAGAAACGGACCAGAAGACGACGGGAGGCAGCAGUGGGGAAUAUGGGAUAAUGGGCGCAAGCAUGUACAAGCCAGACCGGGUGGGAGAAGAAGGGCUUCGGGUUGUAAAGCCCUUUUGUUGGGAAAGAAAAGCAGCAGGUUAAUACACGGCUGGUCUGACGGGGCGCAAAGAAGAAGCAAAGGCUAACUGCGUG